rnacentral:tRNA from 1 species
GGGGAUUUAGCUCAGUGGUAGAGCGCUUGCCUAGCAAGCACCAGGCCCUGGGUUCAGUCCCCAGCUCCG